CUUUCUAUAUUUUAAAAGUUUGAUGGAAUUUUAUUAAACCCUACUCUAUCACUACCACUUAGCUACACAAGGAUAUCGCACGGAGAAACAUGAAUUUUAUACUUUAAUAUUUCUAAUUUAAGCGGAAGUAGGUUCUCAAAUUUUUUCAAACUUGUAACAGGUUGGGCUGGCAUUGGGUUAAUUAUAUGAUUGGAGUAUGAUUAUGCAAACCACCCUGAAGCCAUGAAUUUCCAUCCCCAACUAUGAAAACAAACAUAUACAUGGAUGGAAUCUUCACGAUACAAUUGAGGAAUAGCCCUUUGAAUAUUCUUGGCUCAACUAAAUAAAU